AAACUUAAGGCCUGAUCCAAAGCCCACUGAAGUCAAUGAGAGUCUUUCCAUUGGCUUCAGUGGGCUUCGAUCAGGCCCUAACAAU
rnacentral:pre_miRNA from 1 species